UUAGUUAAAGCCAAAUUAGAGGCAUACCACUGUUAAUGGUUGAAGUGAAGGACUUCUUCUAACUAAG
rnacentral:tRNA from 1 species